rnacentral:rRNA from 1 species
AUGAUGAGAUUGCAUGAUAGCAUCAUUAAAGAUUUAUCGGUGUACGAUGGGGAUGCGUUCCAUUAGGUAGUAGGCGGGGUAACGGCCCACCUAGCCUACGAUGGAUAGGGGUUCUGAGAGGAAGGUCCCCCACAUUGGAACUGAGACACGGUCCAAACUCCUACGGGAGGCAGCAGUGAGGAAUAUUGGUCAAUGGACGAGAGUCUGAACCAGCCAAGUAGCGUGAAGGAUGAAGGUCUUACGGAUUGUAAACUUCUUUUAUAAGGGAAUAAAACCUCCCACGUGUGGGAGCUUGUAUGUACCUUAUGAAUAAG